ACCUACAGAUCCACUCCUCAGGAUACCCCAUCCCACCAGGGCAGCCAGUAAAAAAGUAGGACAGGAAUAGGAUCUCUUGCCAUUGGGUGUGAAUCGACUCUGCCCCUCAAAGUGAAUUUGGAGAUUCUACAGCA
rnacentral:snoRNA from 1 species